rnacentral:rRNA from 1 species
GACAGAGGUGGCAAGCGUUGUCCGGAAUUACUGGGCGUAAAGCGCACGUAGGCGGAUUGUUAAGUCGGGGGUGAAAUCCUGGAGCUCAACUCCAGAACUGCCUUCGAAACUGGCGAUCUUGAGUCCGGGAGAGGUGAGUGGAACUGCGAGUGUAGAGGUGAAAUUCGUAGAUAUUCGCAAGAACACCAGUGGCGAAGGCGGCUCACUGGCCCGGUACUGACGCUGAGGUGCGAAAGCGUGGGGAGCAAACAGG